AUGGACAAGGUUCUACUCUCCAUCCACAUAGUGAUAUUUGGUGCACUUCUCCUGUUCACCAGAGGCAAGAGCUUUGUACAGUCAUCAUCAUCUUCUCACACACAUCCAAACCAUACGGUCACAAGCUGUAUCGCUAGUGAGAGGUCUGCACUUCUCGGCUUCAAAGCAGGCCUCUCGGACCCUGCAUACCUCCUUUCAUCAUGGAAGGGUGAUGAGUGUUGCAAAUGGAAGGGCGUCCACUGCAGCACCAGAAACAGCCAUGUCGUCAAGCUCGAUCUCCAGGGCCAUGGUUGUGACCCCAACAGCGAUGCGUGGACGCAAGUGCUAGGAGGCAACAUCAGCUCCUCUUUGCUUGGUCUACGACAUCUACAGUAUCUUGAUCUUAGCUGCAAUGGGUUCUAUGGGGUGCAAGUGCCAGAGUUCUUGGGUUCUCUCCACAAGUUGAGAUAUAUCGACCUAUCGAGUUUAAGCUUCAUAGGAAGGAUACCACCGCAGCUGGGUAAUCUCUCCAACUUACAAUACUUAAAUCUCAACUCGGAAUAUUUCAAUACCACAUACUCUAUGGAUAUCACCUGGUUGUCACAGUUAACAUCCCUUGUGCACCUGGACCUGAGCGGCACGAACCUCACUACAAUUGUUCACUGGCUUCCGGUGGUGAACAUGCUUCCAUCUCUAAAAGUUCUUCAUCUUAUCAAUUGCAAUCUUAGAACUAGCUCUGCUUCACUUCAGCUUUCAAAUCUAACUUUUCUCGAAACCCUUGACCUUUCCGCCAAUGGCUUCCAUACACAUAUCGCACGCAACUGGUUUUGGGAUUUGACUAGCCUCAAGUAUCUAUAUAUCUCAUCGAAUGGUUUCUAUGGCCAAUUUCCGGACGAGAUUGGUAAUAUGACCUCGAUAGUAAAGCUUGAUUUAUCAUCGAAUAACCUUUUUGGCAUGAUACCGUCAAACCUGAAGAACAUAUGUAGCUUGGAAGAGUUCUUUGUACAUGAAACCAACAUCAAUGGAAGUAUAACAAAAUUCUUCCAGCGUUUGCCUAGUUGUUCAUGGAAUAAGUUGACAUACUUGUCUCUAGCUUCCAGCAACUUGACAGGGAGACUACCAACCAAACUAGAACCCUUUAACAAUUUGAUCUACCUUGAUAUCAGUCGUAACAAGCUCAUCGGUCCUAUGCCACUCUGGAUAGGAGAGCUCACAAAGCUAACUUACCUAGACCUGGGCUACAACAGCUUGGAUGGUUUCAUACAUGAAGGUCAUUUAUCAGGACUAGAAAGCUUGGAGUGGUUGUGGCUCUCUGAUAAUUCCUUAACCCUCACAGUGAAUUCGACAUGGGUUCCUCCUUCAAGUCUAACAAAUAUUGAACUUCGGUCAUGCCUUCUCGGGCCUAAAUUUCCACCGUGGCUUCGAUGGCUAACUAGUCUAGACAAUCUUGAUAUCUCAAACACAAGCAUAUCCGACACGGUUCCAGAUUGGUUUUGGAUAACGGCUUCUACAUUGUACACUCUAAAAAUGGGACAUAACAAAAUUAGUGGUUCUCUUCCAUCUACAAUAGAAUUUAUGGGAGCAACCGCAAUUGAUCUUGGUUCUAACCAGUUCAAUGGUACAAUACCUAAGCUUCCCAUUAGUCUAAGUGACUUGGAUCUUAGUAGAAAUAAAUUAGAUGGACCACUACCACUAGAUUUUGGAACGCCGAAUCUAAUGAAACUAGUUUUAUUUGAUAACUCCAUAUCUGGCACCAUUCCCUCUUCAUUUGCAAAAUGA
rnacentral:rRNA from 1 species